AUUGAACGCUGGCGGCAUGCUUUACACAUGCAAGUCGAACGGCAGCGCGGGCUUCGGCCUGGCGGCGAGUGGCGAACGGGUGAGUAAUGCAUCGGAACGUGCCCAGUAGUGGGGGAUAGCCCGGCGAAAGCCGGAUUAAUACCGCAUACGACCUGAGGGUGAAAGCGGGGGACCGAAAGGCCUCGCGCUAUUGGAGCGGCCGAUGUCGGAUUAGCUAGUUGGUGGGGUAAAGGCUUACAAAGGCGACGAUCCGUAGCUGGUCUGAGAGGACGACCAGCCACACUGGGACUGAGACACGGCCCAGACUCCUACGGGAGGCAGCAGUGGGAAAUUGGGGAAAAGGGGGGCAACCCGGAUCAAGCCAUGCCGCGUGCGGAAAGAAGGCCGUCGGGUUGAAAACCGCUUUUGUUCGGGAAAAAACCCUCUGGGCUAAUACCCCGGGGGGAGGACGGAACCGGAAGAAGAAGCACCGGCAAACGAUG
rnacentral:rRNA from 1 species